CUUUUGCCAUGAGCCACUUUUCAAGAUUGAUGAUGCACCUGGCAAUCCUGAACAUCAGAUAAAGCACUGUAGAUCUUGCAUUGUACCUGUCUCCUUGCAAAGGAAGGGUUGCUUGCUGCUGUCUAAAAAGCAAUGGAUUUAUUAGGGUUCCCCUCCUGUGGUAUACACCCCUGCUGUGCACGCUCCGCCUGGCCUUCUGAUCAUCCUGUGGGAUUUGGGGAACUGGCACAACACUGGUGAUACUUGCAUAACUGCUUUUGCUGGCCUGAUGGUCCCUCACUACUGGCCUCAUGCUACUGAAAUAUAGAAGGACUGCUGCUACCUUGCAGAAGAACCUUCCACCUUGGACGAUCAUCCAAUCAACACAAUAGCUCCGGCAGUGAGAGGGACGUCAUGACUUAGAAGCUCCAGCUGAGAACACCCUGACAGCUGUCAGAAAGAUCCUUCACUACCAUAAGGUAGCAUCAGCUAGUCCAUGUUCUUCUCCUUUCCCUUUCAAUCUAUGACAUUCUGUUUCAGAUACACUACAGACAGCAUUUAAGUGUCAUUGACCUCUUAGAACUUAGUGUCUUUUGUGAAAUUCCAUUUUUAUUCCAUUGCUUUGCUUAGCAAAGAUCCUGGCUCACAGCACCAAAUAAAUGGUAACAUUUUAUUUUAAUAACUAUUAUUAUUGUUAUUGUCAUCUCACUCAGAGGAAAGCUAUAGUGUGGUG
rnacentral:lncRNA from 10 species